CAGGGACAGGAGACAGACUCGGCGGCUGGGGGGAGGACAAAGGAGUCCCGAAGGCAGAGAAAGAGAUAAUAAAGAAGAAGAGACAGAAUGUUCCCCUGAUCUUGGCCCCGAGCCAUCCUCCACUGCAGUGAUCAUGGCAGGAAGAUUACACUGUAAUAGCAACGUGGGCCUCAUCAUCUGAGCUCUUCAUUAGCCUUCAUCGUCUGCUAGGACUUGGAGAAUAAUUGACAUCAUUUUCAAGCAAUUCUUCUCGAGUAGUUUUAAGUAUCCUCUUUAAAUCAGGAUUUAAUGUCAAGUCACUGAGCUUAUAAUUCUAGAUGGGUCCUAAGGACCUCCCCUUAAACCAGCAGUGAAGUGUAAUUAGGGGACAUUUCGAUAAAAGGGGAAAUUUCUCUUGUUUCAUUAUUUUAGAAAACUUCUUGGCAUGCAAAAUAAAGUUUAUUUUUAUA